rnacentral:lncRNA from 1 species
CCUUCUUCAGCGCCUCCUCCUCGGAUUCAGCUUGGAGAGAUCUGGGACGCAGACGUCCGAAGACAGCAUUUGCCUGUACAUGUUCAGUGUUAUUCAAUCAGCUUCAGAUGUAUGAGUAUGAAAAUAAGUAAGCAAAGGAAGAGAAGAGUCAUUUACCUUAGCCAAGUAGCUCAUGCCUUCGCUGAGCAAGUCCCCAUUUGAACUGUUCCCGAACCGAUGGUCAUCGGUCUCGCAAACGAAGGCCUCAAACAGUUGAAAGGGGAAAUUGGCGUUGAACCGAGGCCACAUAGUCGGUGGACCCAUGGCGUCAUGCUGAAAUUCGGAGGUCAUUGGUCCUUGAGGAGGAGGCAUAGGCUGACUGCGAACCGGUGAAGGAUCCGCAUGCAUUGCCUCUGGAGAAGGUGAUCGAGCUGGCAUUGGCUCAGGAGUUGAAGAAGGUUCAGAAGUCGAACCGAGCUGACCGUCCGAAGGCUGUUUUCUUUUUCGGGACGGAGAAGGGUCGGCUUCGACCUGCUCAGCGUUAGGUGUUGGGGUUUCAUUUAAAGGGUUGGUUGUUGAAGGAGGGGGAACGCGGAGUUCGUCGGCAGUAAGAGGAAUUAUUUUGCUUCUUAAUUUUUUAGCACGAAGGACUUUCGCCCGAUCGUGUGGAGGAAUGUCAAGGAGACUCCUCUUUUUUAGGAUUGGUUCAGAAGUUGGUGGGGUUGGUUCAGAGGUUGUUGUGGGUUCAGUUGAAGGAAUUGGUUGUGGGUUUACCUCAGGAAGUACCUCCUCGUCGCUUUCAGGAUUUAUCUCGCGAGGAGUCCUGGCCCUUUUGGCGGCCUUCUUCCUUCGGCGAGGUCGGAGGACCGCUUCGGGGAUGAUAGGAUUGUCAGCUUCAGGGUCAUCAUCCCGAAGAGGAGUUGUUGUUGGCUCGGGG